AUAUAUAAGUAUGCAGAAAGAAACAAAGCAAAAAAGGAUGAGUUAAUAAUGCUGAAGCCUUUUUAGAUUUUCAACUUACUACGGCGGUCCAUCUUAAUUUCUUCGGACUUUUUAUUGAUAUCAACACACAGGCGAAUAUGGCAAGAUCGUGAGGGAAUCUUCAUAUAUAAGUAAGCACUACAGUUGGUCUAAUGUUUCGUUGCUGGGACAGAAGUUGCAAAACUAGGUACAAAACUUAAUCUAUUUAAAUCUAGAUUAAGGUGAGGAGCAGACAAUAACUAAUCUUCCUUGGGAUGGAUAUAUUUUUUUAUGAUUUAUCGGAAUUAUCUAAUGUUCGAUUAGAACGAAUAAACCAUUCGCAGUGGCUCUUUCUUCCGAUAUUCCCCUUACAGGUCGUAUAAACCCAAGUUGUUUUUGGAUAAAAAUUUGGGUAAAAACCCAAUCUAUUUUUAUUCACUUUAUAUUUAAGACUUAUGUACACUUAAAUGCUUAAAUCGAAUUAUUGUUUACAUAUAUACAUACAUAUUUAUAUUAUUAAUGGUUGUUGAAUAGAAGGCGUUGUUUUUAAGUAGCCAUGGAAACAUUUAUGUUCGUUUAUAAAUAAUUACAAUUAAUAACUAGGAUCAUUUAAUAAAUUAUCUAUUUGUAUAGAAAAGUAUUUAAUAAUAAAUUUAUUAGGAAAUUAUAAAGAUUUAUGUGAAAA